CCUACGGGAGGCAGCAGUGGGGAAUAUUGGACAAUGGGCGAAAGCCUGAUCCAGCCAUGCCGCGUGAGUGAUGAAGGCCCUAGGGUUGUAAAGCUCUUUUAACGGUGAAGAUAAUGACGGUAACCGUAGAAGAAGCCCCGGCUAACUUCGUGCCAGCAGCCGCGGUAAU
rnacentral:rRNA from 1 species